CCCUUUUUAAAAGCACUCAAUGGGCCUGUGGCUAAUGACCUAUUGAGCCGUCAAGAAAGGGGAGAAUGGAAACACCGCUCUUGGGUGAAGUGGCAGCAUGUUGUGUUGUUUUCCUUCAAUCAGUGGUGUGACAAGG
rnacentral:snoRNA from 1 species